AUCUGGGCACUGUCUCAACGAGAGACUCGGUGAAAUUAUAGUACCUGUGAAGAUGCAGGUUACCCGCGACAGGACGGAAAGACCCCGUGGAGCUUUACUGCAACCUGAUAUGGAAUGUUUGUACCGCUUGUACAGGCUAGGUAGGAGCCGAAGAGACGUGUGCGCUAGCAUACGAGGAGGCAAUGGUGGGAUACUACCCUGGCUGUAUGACCAUUCUAACCCGCCACGCUUAGCGCGUGGGGAGACAGUGUCAGGUGGGCAGUUUGACUGGGGCGGUCGCCUCCUAAAGAGUAACGGAGGCGCCCAAAGGUUCCCUCAGAAUGGAUGGAAAUCAUUCGCAGAGUGUAAAGGCACAAG
rnacentral:rRNA from 1 species